CAGAAGGAACGAUCCUACGGGAGGCAGCAGUGGGGAAUAUUGGACAAUGGGCGAAAGCCUGAUCCAGCAAUGCCGCGUGUGUGAAGAAGGCCUGCGGGUUUUGUAAAGCACUUUUUAAGUGGGGAAGAACGGGAUUUUGUGCUAAUACCGCGAUCCUUUUUUUUGACGUUUUACCCACAGAAUAAGCACCGGCUAACUCCGUGCCAGCAGCCGCG
rnacentral:rRNA from 1 species